rnacentral:rRNA from 1 species
GACGAACGCUGGCGGCGUGCCUAAUACAUGCAAGUCGAGCGAGCGGAACUAACAGAUUUACUUCGGUAAUGACGUUAGGAAAGCGGGCGGCGGAUGGGUGAGUAACACGUGGGGAACCUGCCCCAUAGUCUGGGAUACCACUUGGAAACAGGUGCUAAUACCGGAUAAGAAAGCAGAUCGCAUGAUCAGCUUUUAAAAGGCGGCGUAAGCUGUCGCUAUGGGAUGGCCCCGCGGUGCAUUAGCUAGUUGGUAAGGUAAAGGCUUACCAAGGCGAUGAUGCAUAGCCGAGUUGAGAGACUGAUCGGCCACAUUGGGACUGAGACACGGCCCAAACUCCUACGGGAGGCAGCAGUAGGGAAUCUUCCACAAUGGACGCAAGUCUGAUGGAGCAACGCCGCGUGAGUGAAGAAGGUUUUCGGAUCGUAAAGCUCUGUUGUUGGUGAAGAAGGAUAGAGGUAGUAACUGGCCUUUAUUGGACGGUAAUCAACCAGAAAGUCACGGCUAACUACGU